GGGGGGGGGGGGGGGGGGGGGGGGCGGGUGGGGGUGGGGCGGGGGGGCGGGGGGGGGCACGUGGUGGCGAGUGGGGGACGGGUGAGUAGUACAUCGGGACAUGUCCUGUAGUGGGGGAGAGCCCGGCGAAAGCCGGAGUCAUACCGCCUACGAUCGGCGGAUGAAAGGGGGGGGCCGUCGGGCCUCGGGCGAGAGGGUGAGCCGAUGGCUAAUUAGCUAGUUGGUGGGGUAAAGGCCUACCAAGGCGACGAUCAGUAGCUGGGAUGAGAGGACGACCAGCCACACUGGGACUGAGACACGGCCCAGACUCCUACGGGAGGCAGCAGUGGGGAAUUUUGGACAAUGGGCGAAAGCCUGAUCCAGCAAUGCCGCGUGUGUGAAGAAGGCCUUCGGGUUGUAAAGCACUUUUGUCCGGAAAGAAAUCCUUGGCCCUAAUACGGUCGGGGGAUGACGGUACCGGAAGAAUAAGCACCGGCUAACUACGUG
rnacentral:rRNA from 1 species